CUCAACAUGAUGACUUAAAUACUGAUUGUUUCCGUUUGUCUCGUUUUGGGACAAUAGAAGCUUAUUUAUAAGAUGACUAUCGAGGCAUUUGUCUGAUUAUUUA
rfam:Aedes albopictus isolate Foshan contig139174, whole genome shotgun sequence.